rnacentral:rRNA from 1 species
UUUUGAAACGCGUCAAAGCGUAACUUUAACACCCAAAAUACCAUUAAUUUUUAUGAACCCCUAAUUUAUAAUGAAUGACUCCAUAUUUAUAUGGAAGACACCAUGCUAGGAUUAGUAACAAGAAUUUAUAAUUCUCCAAAAUGCAAAUAUAAACCAACAUGGAUAGACCAUUGGUAGUUACCGAACCUAAAUUUAAUGCAAUAACAUCCACAAGAAAACUCUGCAGCACUCACUCGUUAACCUAACACCAGCGCAUUACAGGAAAGAUUCAAAAAAAGAGAAGGAAUUCGGCAAAUGACGGCCCCGCCUGUUUACCAAAAACAUCGCCUCUUGACUUAUAAUAAGAGGUCUAGCCUGCCCAGUGAAUUUUAAACGGCCGCGGUAUCCUAACCGCGCGAAGGUAGCAUAAUCACUUGUUCUUUAAAUGGGGACUCGUAUCAACGGCAUCACGAGGGUUUUACUGUCUCCUCUUUUUGAUCAGUGAAAUUGAUCUUCCCGUGAAGAAGCGGGAAUAUUUUUAUAAGACGAGAAGACCCCAUGGAGCUUUAAACCAAAUAACAACUUAACCACUUAUCCCAUAAUAAAUUUAACCCCUGUUAUAAGGUUUUUGGUUGGGGUGACCGCGGAGUAAAGCACAUCCUCCACGACGGAAAGAAUAAAAUCUUUAUUUAAGAACCACACUUCUAGAAAUUAGUAUACUAACGUUUACUGACCCGACAAUCGAUCAACGGACCAAGUUACCCUGGGGAUAACAGCGCAAUCUACUUCGAGAGCUCAUAUCGACAAGUAGGCUUACGACCUCGAUGUUGGAUCAGGGUAUCCCGGUGGUGCAGCCGCUACCGAAGGUUCGUUUGUUCAACGAUUAAAACCCUACGUGAUCU